CCAGACUCCUACGGGAGGCAGCAGUAGGGAAUCUUCCGCAAUGGACGAAAGUCUGACGGAGCAACGCCGCGUGAGUGAUGAAGGUUUUCGGAUCGUAAAGCUCUGUUGUUAGGGAAGAACAAGUGCGANNAGUAACUGNUCGNNNCUUGNCGGUACCUAACCAGAAAGCCNCGGCUAANUACNUGCCAGCAGCCGCGGUAAUACNUAGGUGGCAAGCGUUGUCCNGGAAUUAUUGGGCGUAAAGGGCUCGCAGGNGGUUUCUUAAGUCUGAUGUGAAAGCCCCCGGCUCAACCGGGGAGGGUCAUUGGAAACUGGGAAACUUGAGUGCAGAAGANGAGAGUGGAAUUCCACGUGUAGCGGUGAAAUGCGUAGAGAUGUGGAGGAACACCAGUGGCGAAGGCGACUCUCUGGUCUGUAACUGACGCUGAGGAGCGAAAGCGUGGGGAGCGAACAGGAUUAGAUACCCUGGUAGUCCACGCCGUAAACGAUGAGUGCUAAGUGUUAGGGGGUUUCCGCCCCUUAGUGCUGCAGCUAACGCAUUAAGCACUCCGCCUGGGGAGUACGGUCGCAAGACUGAAACUCAAANGAAUUGACGGGGGCCCGCACAAGCGGUGGAGCAUGUGGUUUAAUUCGAAGCAACGCGAAGAACCUUACCAGGUCUUGACAUCCUCUGACAACNCUAGAGAUANGGNNNUCCCUUCGGGGACAGAGUGACAGGUGGUGCAUGGUUGUCGUCAGCUCGUGUCGUGAGAUGUUGGGUUAAGUCCCGCAACGAGCGCAACCCUUGAUCUUAGUUGCCAGCAUUCAGUUGGGCACUCUAAGGUGACUGCCGGUGACAAACCGGAGGAAGGUGGGGAUGACGUCAAAUCAUCAUGCCCCUUAUGACCUGGGCUACACACGUGCUACAAUGGACAGA
rnacentral:rRNA from 1 species